CCUACGGGUGGCAGCAGUGAGGAAUAUUGGUCAAUGGGCUUACGCCUGAACCAGCCAAGUCGCGUGAGGGAAGACUGCCCUAUGGGUUGUAAACCUCUUUUGUCAGGGAGCAAGUGGCGCUACGUGUAGCGUUAUCGAGAGGACCUGAAGAAAAAGCAGCGGCUAACUCCGUGCCAGCAGCCGCGGUAAUACGGAGGAUGCGAGCGUUAUCCGGAUUGAUUGGGUUGAAAGGGUGCGUAGGCGGAAUGCCACGUCAGCGGGAAAAUCGAGGGGCGCAACCUCGCUCCGCCGUUGACACUGGCGUUCUUGAGUGGGCGAGAAGUAUGCGGAAUGCGUGGUGUAGCGGU
rnacentral:rRNA from 1 species